rnacentral:tRNA from 1 species
GCCUUUCUAGCUCAGUUGGUAGAGCAUCAGACUUUUAAUCUGAGGGUCGUGGGUUCGAGUCCCACGGAGGGCA